ensembl:lncRNA
GGAGGCAGGACGUCUUGGAAUAGCUACAAAACUAAUCCAAUCUUUUUUAGUUGACCGAAUCUAGGUGCAUUUUUAAUAGUGGUCAAAUAGAUUUUUGUGUUCCACCUCACAGAUCUGGGCAUUUAAAACUGACCCCCCACCCUCUCCCAACAAGAGUUCCCUUGUAACGUCCCCCAGUACAGGGCCUGGCAUCAGAUCCCAGCCUUGGCCAUCCACACAGAUCCAACACGCUCGGAAGCUCCCCUGCUCUACCCCCUCCCCGCCCCCCUUCCUUCCCCGCCGGCAGCGACUGCCCAGCACGUAAUUGCUAAAGGAAAGGGUCGCUUGUUUGCGGCCUCAUGCGGGAAUGAUUAAAGGUAGAAGUUUUUCAGACAUUAGCGACAGAAAGAGUAUAGUUAAGGCUGCUUUAAAAAGAGAGAGGCGUAUAAAGAGAUGGUACUCAAAGCACUAUUAAAAGCAUCAGGCUUGUUAAAACCAGUAAAAAGGCAGGGAAUUGGCGAGGGGAAGGCAGCUUCCUCUCCAAUUACGGUGAGGGGCACACACCUUGAAGGUCUCUUUGAAUUGCGGCCGCCAGCCCCUGCCCCCUCCCCUCUCCUCCGCCCCCUCCGCCGGGCCAUUCAUCGCUACAUUAGGGAGGAGGCAGAGGGUGACGAUGCUCCCCCAAGUUCACUUCUCGCUUGUUACAGGCGACCCAUUUAGAGCUGAAUGACUAUGUUCAGAGACAGCUCUAAAUGACACCCUCCACCUCUUCACGGAGCCACUUGGUUUUGUCUUUUUUUUUUUUUUUUGUAUCCCGGAGAAAUAAUUGAUAAACCGAACGGCCGGCCACCUUAAAGCUGGGCGCCUCCCUGGCCACCUGGUUAAAAUUCCUCCUCCGCUCCCCACCUCCCCACAUCCAUUUUGCUCUGUGCUGUUUAAACAAUACUUCAUCAAAUGCAGCCUGGAGCAAAUAAGAAAGCUCAGUAGAGUAAAUAAAAAGUCAAAAAAAAAAUCACCGGCUGGAGGCUCCAGAAGCCAUGCCUAUAAUACACACAAGACUUUGUUUCAAAUCAGUUUUUCAGUUGAGGAGGAAUUCAAACUCAGGAAAAGAAGAGGAAUUUACAUUUGACCACAAAGACCGGAGAGGUCUUUGCACACGUUUCUUAAGGGAAAGACAUUUAGGAACUUGGAAACGUUUAUGCCCUAUAAUCAUAGAAUGUGAGGAGCAGCCAGGCGUCUCUGAGGCCAGCAAGGUUAAUGACAUGAUUUUGGAGAUGAGAAAAUUGAGGCCAGAGAAAUCAAAUGACUCAUCCACAUCUGGGACAGGCCAAAGCAGGCACAGGGAUAAAGAACAACUGUUGAGAGAUGGAACUUGCAGCCCAGAUCCUUGGCCGGAGCGUCCCAGCGCUCUGCUUCAUCCAGUCCCAGCUGAUCAGAGUUUCAGCAAAGAGAGAACAUGCUUUCUUAACGGUACACAUGUUCGCUGAGAGUGGAGGAGGGGGGAUGAAGGAGAAGCAAGUUUUCCAUCUGAAAAGAACAUGAGCAUCUGCCUAGCAAUGAACUUCCCUGCUCUUGAACUUGUCAAUUCUUUUCCACCUCUUCAUUCAACACAAUUCAAAAGGCAUAACCUGAAAAAGGGCAUGAUGGAAAGAAGUACUGAGAUCCACUAAAGAAAAGGCACAAUAGUUAAUCAUCUCUUCUCUGGCAUCCUUCCUUCAACCCUACAAAAUAAACAAGUUGAGAAGUUCUUCAAUUUCUGUGACUGUAAGCGAUGUGGUGAAUUAAUGUUCCUAAAUGCUAGCACUGGGUAAAUGAAUUCAUUGUUGAGAAAGUUCUGGAUGAGCCAGUAGCCAAGUUAUUAAUUCCAUUAUAUAUCCUUGUUUGUGUCUGCUCUGGGAUAGAGAUGAGAGAGGAACAUUGUCAUGAAGAAACCCAUUAAAUAUACCUGCCUUUGUAAAAUCUUGCAUCUCAAACUAAAGUUGUACUAUGCUUUUCUUAAAGAACCCAAAAUUCUCAGUGGCCCUACCAAGAUAGGCAAUAAGUUUCUCAAAAAUCACAUUGGCACAUAGGUGCUUACAACUACUCAAUGAAUUUUUAACCAAUACGUAUCCACCUGGAAUUAAACCAAGAUGGACUCAUUAGAAGAGCUGUCAGGAUCGCUACCCAACAUGGUAACUCUCAGGACAGACAGUGGGAAGUCUCUAAAUGUCCCUUUGCAGGGCUUUCAAAGGGCUCAAUUCAGGUGUGGGAAACCUGUCUUUAAUAUUUUCAUUGCUGCUCCCAAUGUACUUCCAAUGUUAUUAAUUCACGUGCAGCAUUUCAUUAAAUGGGAUCCUCUUUGCAAA